rnacentral:rRNA from 1 species
UACGUAGGGGGCUAGCGUUGUCCGGAAUCAUUGGGCGUAAAGAGCGCGUAGGCGGCCAGAUAAGUCCGGUGUGAAAGUCAAAGGCUCAACCUUUGAAUGCCGCUGGAAACUGGCUGGCUAGAGUCCGGGAGGGGCGAGUGGAAUUCCCAGUGUAGCGGUGAAAUGCGUAGAUAUUGGGAGGAACACCAGUGGCGAAGGCGGCUCACUGGACCGGAACUGACGCUGAGGCGCGAAAGCGUGGGGAGCAAACAGG